rnacentral:piRNA from 1 species
CAGGCUUAGAACUGAAAAGCGUUUCUCUUG